UUUAUACUCUCUCCGUCCUAAAAUUCUUGUCUUAUAUUUGUCUAGAUAUGGAUGUAUCUAAUACUAAAACGUGACUUGAUACAUCCAUAUUUAGACAAAUCUAAAACAAGAAUUUUGGGACGGAGGGAGUAUAUU
rnacentral:pre_miRNA from 1 species